UCCGCAUACUGUCCUCCCUUCCAUCUCUCCUCCAUUCCUUCCUUCAUUUCUUUUUCUUCUUUCCUUCCACUCUUCGCUCACCUCCAGUUUAAUAAUAUAUCCAAUUUAGCAUCAAAAACAGGUAAGGAAAGGUUGAAUAAUAAAAGAGAGACUCAUAAUUAUAACAACUCCAAUUUAGCAUCAAAAACAGGUAAGGAAAGGUUGAAUAAUAAAAGAGAGACUCAUAAUUACAAUAACAACUCCAAUUUAGCAUCAAAAACAGGUAAUGAAAGGUUGAAUAAUAAAAGAGAGACUCAUAAUUACAAUAACAACUCCAAUUCAGCAUCAAAAACAGGUAAUGAAAGGUUGAAUAAUAAAAGAAAGACUCAUAAUUACAAUAACAACUCCAAUUUAGCAUCAAAAACAGGUAAUGAAAGGUUGAAUAAUAAAAGAAAGACUCAUAAUUACAAUAACAACUCCAAUUUAGCAUCAAAAACAGGUAAGGAAAGGUUGAAUAAUAAAAGACUCAUAAUUACAAUAACAACUCCAAUUCAGCAUCAAAAACAGGUAAGGAAAGGUUGAAUAAUAAAAGACUCAUAAUUACAAUAACAACUCCAAUUUAGCAUCAAAAACAGGUAAGGAAAGGUUGAAUAAUAAAAGAGAGACUCAUAAUUACAAUAACAACUCCAAUUUAGCAUCAAAAACAGGUAAGGAAAGGUUGAAUAAUAAAAGAGAGACUCAUAAUUACAAUAACAACUCCAAUUUAGCAUCAAAAACAGGUAAGGAAAGGUUGAAUAAUAAAAGAAAGACUCAUAAUUACAAUAACAACUCCAAUUCAGCAUCAAAAACAGGUAAGGAAAGGUUGAAUAAUAAAAGAAAGACUCAUAAUUACAAUAACAACUCCAAUUCAGCAUCAAAAACAGGUAAGGAAAGGUUGAAUAAUAAAAGAAAGACUCAUAAUUACAAUAACAACUCCAAUUCAGCAUCAAAAACAGGUACAGGAAAGGUUGAAUAAUAAAAGACUCAUAAUUACAAUAACAACUCCAAUUCAGCAUCAAAAACAGGUAAGGAAAGGUUGAAUAAUAAAAGAGAGACUCAUAAUUACAAUAACAACUCCAAUUCAGCAUCAAAAACAGGUAAGGAAAGGUUGAAUAAUAAAAGACUCAUAAUUACAAUAACAACUCCAAUUUAGCAUCAAAAACAGGUAAGGAAAGGUUGAAUAAUAAAAGACUCAUAAUUACAAUAACAACUCCAAUUUAGCAUCAAAAACAGGUAAGGAAAGGUUGAAUAAUAAAAGAGAGACUCAUAAUUACAAUAACAACUCCAAUUCAGCAUCAAAAACAGGUAAGGAAAGGUUGAAUAAUAAAAGAGAGACUCAUAAUUACAAUAACAACUCCAAUUCAGCAUCAAAAACAGGUAAUGAAAGGUUGAAUAAU